GACUGGUAGAUGUAUCAAGCCAGCCAUCAUCCUAGCAGAACACUAAGGAGAAACUCAGGGAAAAGGACACCAAGUUGGACAAGACCAGACCCUCCUACUGAGAAGAAAAUUGGGAUGUCCUUUCUUAAUGGGAAAACACAGAGUAGCUAAUAACUUGUUAAUGUCCUCCUUUUGAGAUCCUAAGGUAAUAACCAAGCUGUGGUGUUUCAGAAAAGCCCAAGUGUAUGUUGUUCACAGUGAUAAGAAAUUACACACUGAAGUCCAGCAAUGUAAUUUCUAUCUUAACUGCAUGCAGAAUGCACUCUUCAUUUCAAAUGUCUUAAUUUUUCUAGUAGUUUCAAGCAGAAUAUUUGUAAAUGUUUAUUUGAAAGAUAAGGUGUUUAUUUUAUGUAUAUUUUUUUCUGGUAGUGGUUAUGGAUAUCAUACAGAGCAAACUGACCUUUGUAAAUAGAACAUCCUUUCACAUAAAUGAUUUUUUUUGAAAGUCCAUUCACUAAUAUGUUAUUUUCUUUCAGAAUUUGAGAUGUGGUGUUUCUCUGGACAGUUUAUUGCUCUAUCUCAUUAGAAAGUGUAACAGCAAAAUACUCUAGAGCAGUAAUGGUAGCAAAUUAUUUUUAUUCUAAAAUAGAAGCAGGAAAGGUCUCUGGUUUUCUUUAUCUGAAUCAGUUGUUCAGUUCAUAAUAGACAGUUUACCCCCCCCCCCCCAUCUGGAGUUGCAGUUCCUAGACUGAAAGCUCUGGAGUUGUGGUCUGCUUUUCUGAUCCUGUGAGGCGUGUAUCAAGUCUUUCUCUCUUUGAAGUGCAAUGAGGCAUGUGCCAUCGACAUACCUUAGGCUGAUGGAGAAAGAGCUGUGGAAUGGUGUUGAGACAGGCAGUGACAGUGACUUCACGGGUCUGCUGACAGUCCACUGUGAGGCCCCUCUGUACAUAACCCUGCUGCGGAGUUCACUCGAAUCACUCGUGAAGCCGGUGCUCCUCAGGAGCUGCUGUUCAGGAAUGCCUGAAGGAAGGACUCAAGGGGAGUUGACUUUGACAAAAACAUUAAGUGUACAGCAGUCAGAGCGAAGAGAGUUCAUUAAAGAGCAAAUGGAAAACUGUGUCUGUGUCUGCUACAGUGUUUUGAAGUAA
rnacentral:lncRNA from 1 species